rnacentral:tRNA from 1 species
GCCAGCAUGGUGUAGUGGUUUGAAUGUUGGACUAUGACUCUGGAGAUCAGGGUUCAAUUCCCCAUUCAAGCA